AGGUCAAGUAGAAAAGGGCGCAUGGUGAAUGCCUUGGCACUAGAAGCCGAUGAAGGACGUGACGAACCACGAAAGGCUUCGGGGAGCAGUAAGUAAGCAAUGAUCCGGAGAUAUCCGAAUGGGGGAACCCAAUACCGCGAGGUAUUAUCAUUAACUGUUAAGGUUAAUGAAGGAAGACGCAGUGAACUGAAACAUCUAAGUAGCUGCAGGAAGAGAAAGAAAAAUCGAUUUCCCAAGUAGCGGCGAGCGAACAGGAAAGAGCCCAAACCAGCUGGCUUGCCAGUUGGGGUUGUAGGACUGCGAUAUAGUACUUGAAGUGAUAGCAGAAUUAUCUGGAAAGAUAAGCCAGAGAGGGUGAGAGCCCCGUACGCGAAAUUGCGGAGAGACUUAGCAGGAUCCUGAGUAGGUCGGGACACGAGAAAUCCCGAUUGAAACCGCGAGGACCAUCUCGCAAGGCUAAAUACUAACUAGUGACCGAUAGUGAACCAGUACCGUGAGGGAAAGGUGAAAAGAACCCCGGAAGGGGAGUGAAAGAGAACCUGAAACCGUGUGCCUACAAGUAGUCAGAGCACAUUAAAGUGUAAUGGCGUGCCUUUUGUAGAAUGAACCGGCGAGUUACGUUAUGGUGCAAGGUUAAGUCAGAAAAGACGGAGCCGGAGCGAAAGCGAGUCUGAAUAGGGCGAAAGAGUAUCAUGACGUAGACCCGAAACCAAGUGACCUACCCAUGACCAGGUUGAAGGCGUGGUAAAACACGCUGGAGGACCGAACCCACGUGAGUUAAAAAUCGCGGGGAUGAGUUGUGGGUAGCGGUGAAAUUCCAAACGAACUUGGAGAUAGCUGGUUCUCUCCGAAAUAGCUUUAGGGCUAGCCUCGUGUGAAUGAUAAUGGAGGUAGAGCGCUGUUUGGACUAGGGGCCCGUCAGGGGUUACUGAAUCCAGAUAAACUCCGAAUGCCAGAUAUCAAUGCACGGGAGUCAGACUGCGAGUGAUAAGAUCCGUAGUCGAAAGGGAAACAGCCCAGAUCACCAGUUAAGGUCCCCAAAUCUAUGCUAAGUGGAAAAGGAUGUGGAGUUGCGUAGACAACUAGGAUGUUGGCUUAGAAGCAGCCACCAUUUAAAGAGUGCGUAAUAGCUCACUAGUCGAGUGACGCUGCGCCGAAAAUGUACCGGGGCUAAGCAUAGUACCGAAACUGUGGAUGCAUAUAUUAUAUGCGUGGUAGGAGAGCGUUCUAAGUGCGGCGAAGUUAGAUCGAGAGGACUAAUGGAGCGCUUAGAAGUGAGAAUGCCGGUAUGAGUAGCGAAAGAUAGGUGAGAAUCCUAUCCGCCGAAAGACUAAGGUUUCCUGGGGCAGGCUCGUCCGCCCAGGGUAAGUNNNNNNNNNNUCGGGACCNNNNNNNNUAANNNNNNNNNNNNNNNNNNNNNNNNNNNNNNNNNNNNNNNNNNNNNNNNNNNNNNNNNNNNNNNNNNNNNNNNNNNNNNNNNNNNNNNCCAGGGUAAGGCCGAGAGGCGUAGCCGAUGGACAACAGGUAGAAAUUCCUGUACUGAAAUUGUUCGAUAUGAGCAAAGGAGGGACGCAGGAGGCUAAUGACGCAUGUUGCUGGAAAUACAUGUGCAAGCAGUAAGAAAAAAGAUGAGUCAAAUGCUUGUCUUUAGAUUUCAAGCUGUGAUGCGGAGCGAAAUAAAAGUAGCGAAGGUCAUGAUGUCACACUGCCAAGAAAAGCUUCUAGCCAGAACAAUUUUACCCGUACCGCAAACCGACACAGGUAGUCGAGUGGAGAACACUCAGGUGAGCGAGAGAACUCUCGUUAAGGAACUCGGCAAAAUGACCCCGUAACUUCGGGAGAAGGGGUGCUGAUAGUAAAAUAUCAGCCGCAGUGAAUAGGCCCAAACAACUGUUUAUCAAAAACACAGGUAUCUGCAAAAUCGUAAGAUGACGUAUAGGUGCUGACACCUGCCCGGUGCUGGAAGGUUAAGAGGAGAGCUUAGCGCAAGCGAAGGUUUGAAUUGAAGCCCCAGUAAACGGCGGCCGUAACUAUAACGGUCCUAAGGUAGCGAAAUUCCUUGUCGGGUAAGUUCCGACCUGCACGAAAGGUGUAAUGAUUUGGGCACUGUCUCAACGAGAGACUCGGUGAAAUUAUAAUACCCGUGAAGAUGCGGGUUACCCGCGACAGGACGGAAAGACCCCAUGGAGCUUUACUGUAGCUUGAUAUUGAGUAUUUGUUAAACAUGUACAGGAUAGGUAGGAGCCAGAGAAAGUAGGACGCUAGUCUUACCGGAGGCAAUGUUGGGAUACUACCCUUGUUUGAUGGAUCCUCUAACUCACAGAGCUGAGCGUUCUGGAGGACAGUGUCAGGUGGGCAGUUUGACUGGGGCGGUCGCCUCCUAAAGUGUAACGGAGGCGCCCAAAGGUUCCCUCAGAAUGGUUGGAAAUCAUUCGCAGAGUGUAAAGGUAUAAGGGAGCUUGACUGCGAGAGCUACAACUCGAGCAGGGACGAAAGUCGGGCUUAGUGAUCUGGUGGUACUGCAUGGAAAGGCCAUCACUCAACGGAUAAAAGCUACCCUGGGGAUAACAGGCUUAUCUCCCCCAAGAGUUCACAUCGACGGGGAGGUUUGGCACCUCGAUGUCGGCUCGUCGCAUCCUGGGGCUGAAGUCGGUCCCAAGGGUUGGGCUGUUCGCCCAUUAAAGCGGCACGCGAGCUGGGUUCAGAACGUCGUGAGACAGUUCGGUCCCUAUCCGUCGUGGGCGUAGGAAAUUUGAGAGGAGCUGUCCUUAGUACGAGAGGACCGGGAUGGACAUACCGCUGGUGUACCAGUUGUCUUGCCAAAGGCAUCGCUGGGUAGCUAUGUAUGGAAGGGAUAAGCGCUGAAAGCAUCUAAGUGCGAAGCCCCCCUCAAGAUGAGAUUUCCGAUGCGAAAGCAGUAAGACACCUUAAAGACGAUGAGGUAGAUAGGCUAGGAGUGGAAGCAUAGCGAUAUGUGGAGCGGACUAGUACUAAUCAGUCGAGCACUUGACCAAA
rnacentral:rRNA from 1 species